ACGGGAGGCAGCAGUGGGGAAUAUUGGGCAAUGGGCGAAAGCCUGACCCAGCAACGCCGCGUGAAGGAAGAAGGUCUUCGGAUUGUAAACUUCUUUUAUGAGGGACGUAGGACGUGACGGUACCUCAUGAAUAAGCCACGGCUAACUACGUGCCAGCAGCCGCGGUAAUACGUAGGUGGCAAGCGUUAUCCGGAUUUACUGGGUGUAAAGGGAGCGUAGGCGGGGAUGCAAGUCAGAUGUGAAAUCUAUGGGCUUAACUCAUAAACUGCAUUUGAAACUGUAUCUCUUGAGUGCUGGAGAGGUAGACGGAAUUCCUAGUGUAGCGGUGAAAUGCGUAGAUAUUAGGAAGAACACCAGUGGCGAAGGCGGUCUACUGGACAGUAACUGACGCUGAGGCGCGAAUGCGUGGGGAGCAAACAGGAUUAGAUACCCUGGUA
rnacentral:rRNA from 1 species